AGAGUUUGAUCCUGGCUCAGGAUGAACGCUGGCGGUCUGCUUAACACAUGCAAGUCGAACGGAACUUUUCGGAGUUCAGUGGCGGACGGGUGAGUAACGCGUGAGAAUCUGCCUUCUGGUCGGGGACAACCACUGGAAACGGUGGCUAAUACCGGAUGAGCCUACGGGUAAAAGAUUUAUUGCCAGAAGAGGAGCUCGCGUCUGAUUAGCUAGUUGGUGAGGUAAAGGCUCACCAAGGCAUCGAUCAGUAGCUGGUCUGAGAGGAUGACCAGCCACACUGGGACUGAGACACGGCCCAGACUCCUACGGGAGGCAGCAGUGGGGAAUUUUCCGCAAUGGGCGAAAGCCUGACGGAGCAAGACCGCGUGAGGGAGGAAGGCUCUUGGGUUGUAAACCUCUUUUCUUGGGGAAGAAAAAAAUGACGGUACCCAAGGAAUCAGCAUCGGCUAACUCCGUGCCAGCAGCCGCGGUAAUACGGAGGAUGCAAGCGUUAUCCGGAAUUAUUGGGCGUAAAGCGUCCGCAGGUGGCACUUCAAGUCUGCUGUCAAAGGUCGGGGCUUAACCCCGGGAAGGCAGUGGAAACUGAAGCGCUAGAGUGUCGUAGGGGUAGAGGGAAUUCCCGGUGUAACGGUGAAAUGCGUAGAGAUCGGGAAGAACAUCGGUGGCGAAAGCGCUCUACUGGACGACAACUGACACUCAGGGACGAAAGCUAGGGGAGCGAAUGGGAUUAGAUACCCCAGUAGUCC
rnacentral:rRNA from 1 species